rnacentral:rRNA from 1 species
UAUCCUGGCUCAGGAUGAACGCUGGCGGCGUGCUUAACACAUGCAAGUCGAGCGAAGCAUAGAUGUGGAAGUUUUCGGAUGGAAGCGUGUAUGACUGAGCGGCGGACGGGUGAGUAACGCGUGGGUAACCUGCCUCAUACAGGGGGAUAACAGUUAGAAAUGACUGCUAAUACCGCAUAAGCGCACAGGACCGCAUGGUCCGGUGUGAAAAACUCCGGUGGUAUGAGAUGGACCCGCGUCUGAUUAGCUGGUUGGUGAGGUAACGGCCCACCAAGGCGACGAUCAGUAGCCGACCUGAGAGGGUGGCCGGCCACAUUGGGACUGAGACACGGCCCAAACUCCUACGGGAGGCAGCAGUGGGGAAUAUUGCACAAUGGGGGAAACCCUGAUGCAGCAACGCCGCGUGAGUGAAGAAGUAUUUCGGUAUGUAAAGCUCUAUCAGCAGGGAAGAGAAUGACGGUACCUGACUAAGAAGCCCCGGCUAACUACGUG